rnacentral:rRNA from 1 species
UCCUGGCUUAGGACGAACGCUGGCGGCGUGCUUCAUACAUGCAAGUCGAACGAUAAGGUCUCUUCGGAGAUACAUAAGUGGCGGACGGGUGAGUAAUGUGUAGAGAAUCUGCCCUUUAGUGGGGGACAACAGAGGGAAACUUCUGCUAAUACCCCAUAUGCGCGUAGCUGAGAUGCUAUUCGUGAAAACUCCGGUGCUAAAGGAUGAGUCUGCAUCUGAUUAGCUAGUAGGCGGUGUAAUGGACCACCUAGGCGACGAUCAGUAGCUGGUUUGAGAGGAUGAUCAGCCACAAUGGGACUGAGACACGGCCCAUACUCCUACGGGAGGCAGCAGUAGGGAAUUUUGCGCAAUGGGGGAAACCCUGAACCGCAGCAACGCCGCGUGAAUGAAGAAGCCCUUCGGGGUGUAAAGUUCUGUCAGUGGGGACGAAACUUGACGGUACCCACAGAGGAAGCAUCGGCUAACUCCGUGCCAGCAGCCGC